rnacentral:tRNA from 1 species
GCCCUAGUCGUUCAACUGGAUAGAAUAUCAGAUUUCGGCUCUGAGGGUUGAGGGUUCGAAUCCUUCCGUGGUCACAA